UACGGAAUGUGCAAACGUUAUUCGGAAUCACUGGGCUUAAAGAGUCCGUAGGCGGCAUGUUAGGUGAGGUGUGAAAUCCCUCGGCUCAACCGAGGAAUUGCGCUUCAAACCGGCGUGCUUGAGGAGGAUAGAGGUGGGCGGAACUGAUGGUGGAGCGGUGAAAUGCGUUGAUAUCAUCAGGAACACCGGAGGCGAAAGCGGCCCACUGGGUCUUUUCUGACGCUGAGGGACGAAAGCUAGGGUAGUGAACGGG
rnacentral:rRNA from 1 species